rnacentral:rRNA from 1 species
UACGUAGGUGGCAAGCGUUGUCCGGAAUUAUUGGGCGUAAAGCGCGCGCAGGCGGUCUUUUAAGUCUGAUGUGAAAGCCCACGGCUCAACCGUGGAGGGUCAUUGGAAACUGGAGGACUUGAGUGCAGAAGAGGAGAGCGGAAUUCCACGUGUAGCGGUGAAAUGCGUAGAGAUGUGGAGGAACACCAGUGGCGAAGGCGGCUCUCUGGUCUGUAACUGACGCUGAGGCGCGAAAGCGUGGGGAGCGAACAGG